rnacentral:lncRNA from 1 species
CAACAACAGAUUCCAAGAGCUGCACAUAAGUCACCUUUGCACUUGCUGAGCCCACACGGUCAUUUCUGCAGACAGAUCUAAGGCCCUUUGUAUACUGUAAGGACAUGGAAGGUGCUGCUGGGAGCCCAGGCUGGCCACAGCAGGCUGUCAACCUCAACGAGGAAGAAGGGACACCUGAGAACCUUCAAAGGCGACACUGGAAUCCCGGUGGGACAAGCUCCCUCUGCACUUCCCAGACCCUGCUGUGUGUGUCUGUGUGCACAUAUUACCUGCCUGUUCCUA